rnacentral:rRNA from 1 species
CACGUAGGGGACGAGCGUUGUCCGGAUUCACUGGGCGUAAAGCGCACGUAGGCGGCUUUCUAAGUCAGGGGUGAAAUCCUGGAGCUCAACUCCAGAACUGCCUUUGAUACUGGAGGGCUUGAGUCCGGAAGAGGUGAGUGGAACUCCGAGUGUAGAGGUGAAAUUCGUAGAUAUUCGGAAGAACACCAGUGGCGAAGGCGGCUCACUGGUCCGGUACUGACGCUGAUGUGCGAAAGCGUGGGGAGCAAACAGG